rnacentral:rRNA from 1 species
AUUAUAAAUUUAAUUAUUAUUAUUGAUUUUUUAAAGUAUUAUUUUAUUUAUUAUUAUAAAAGAAAAAUUAAUUUUUUAUUAUAGUUUACUAGUAAAGUGAUUGAAUUUAUUUAUAUAUUAAUAAGAAAAAUUUAUUUUUUGUACCUUGUGUAUCAGGGUUGAUUAAUUUUAUAAUUAUUAUUAAUUUUUCUCGAAUUAAGAAGAGCUAAUUAUGUAUAUGUUUAAUUUUUUCAUAAAUUUUCAUAAUAUAUAAUUUGAAAUGAAAUGUUAUUCGUUUCUUAAUAUAUCUAGUUUUUUAAGAAAAGAAUUUAAUUCUCUUAUUAUUUAUUAUUAGUUAAUUUUUAGUUAAUAAUUUUUAGUAUGAAAUAAAUAAAGGGAUAAGCUUUUAUUUUAAUAAUUAAAAAUUUAUUUGGUUUUAUUUUUUGUAUAAUUUAAAUUGUUAAUCAUUUUUAUAAUAUAAUAGUUAAUUUUAUUUAAUUAAUGAUUUAUAUUUAUUUUAGUUUUUUUAUUAAAAAUUUAUGUUUAAUUUUUUAGCUUUUUUAUAAUGAUUAAAUUAGUAGAUAAAUAUGUAUUUUAUUAUUUAUUUUUAAGAUAAUAAAAAGGAACUUGGCAAAUAAAUUUUUCGCCUGUUUAUUAAAAACAUGUCUUUUUGAUUAUAAUUUAAGGUUUAAUCUGCUCAAUGAUUUAUUCAAUUGCCGCAGUAUUUUGACUGUGCAAAGGUAGCAUAAUAAUUAGCUUUUUUAUUGAGAGCUGGAAUGAAUGAUUGGACGAAAAAAUUUCUGUCUCUUUAUUAUUUAUUAUUUAAUUUUACUUUUAAGUUAAAAGGCUUAAAUUUUUUUAAAAGACGAGAAGACCCUAUAGAGUUUUAUUUUUAUUUUUUGAUUAAUUUUUAGAAUUUAAAAUAUUUUAUCGAAUAAAAAAUUUGGUUGGGGUGACUGAAAGAUUAAUUAAACUCUUUUAAUUGAAAUCAUUUAUUUAUGAAUAGAGAAAUUAUUUUUAUAAAUUUAAAAUAAAUUACCUUAGGGAUAACAGCGUUAUUUUUCUUUAGAGUUCUUAUUGAAAGGAAAGAUUGCGACCUCGAUGUUGGAUUAAAAUUUAUUUUUGGUGUAGAAGCUUAAAUAUUAAGUCUGUUCGACUUUUAAAAUUUUACAUGAUCUGAGUUUAAACCGGUGUAAGCCAGGUUGGUUUCUAUCUUUAAAUUUUUAAUAUAUUUUAGUACGAAAGGACCAAAUAUAUAAUAUAUUAUUUUAUUUUGAAUAAUAUU